AGUAUCCCACCUGGGGAGUACGCCGGCAACGGUGAAACUCAAAGGAAUUGACGGGGGCCCGCACAAGCGGAGGAACAUGUGGUUUAAUUCGAUGAUACGCGAGGAACCUUACCCGGGCUUGAAUUGCGACUGACUGCAUCAGAGAUGAUGUUUCCAGCGAUGGCAGUCGUGAAGGUGCUGCAUGGUUGUCGUCAGCUCGUGCCGUGAGGUGUCGGCUUAAGUGCCAUAACGAGCGCAACCCUUUUCCCUGUUUGCCAUCGGGUAAUGCCGGGCACUCCAGGGAUACUGCCAUCGUAAGAUGUGAGGAAGGUGGGGAUGACGUCAAAUCAGCACGGCCCUUACGUCCGGGGCUACACACGUGUUACAAUGGGCGGCACAGAGGGCAGCGACCGCGCGAGCGGCAGCCAAUCCCGAAAUCCGCUCUCAGUUCGGACUGGAGUCUGCAACCCGACUCCACGAAGCUGGAUUCGCUAGUAAUCGCGCAUCAGCCAUGGCGCGGUGAAUACGUUCCCGGGCCUUGUACACACCGCCCGUC
rnacentral:rRNA from 1 species